CAAACUUGAGAGUUUGAUCCUGGCUCAGAACGAACGCUGGCGGCAGGCUUAACACAUGCAAGUCGAACGAAACCAAGGCUUCGGCCUGAAGUUUAGUGGCGCACGGGUGCGUAACGCGUGGGAAUCUGCCCUUAGGUACGGAAUAACUCAGAGAAAUUUGUGCUAAUACCGUAUGAUGUCGAAAGACCAAAGAUUUAUCGCCUAAGGAUGAGCCCGCGUAAGAUUAGCUAGUUGGUGAGGUAAAAGCUCACCAAGGCGACGAUCUUUAGCUGGUCUGAGAGGAUGAUCAGCCACACUGGGACUGAGACACGGCCCAGACUCCUACGGGAGGCAGCAGUGGGGAAUAUUGGACAAUGGGCGAAGCCUGAUCCAGCAAUGCCGCGUGAGUGAUGAAGGCCUUAGGGUUGUAAAGCUCUUUUACUGGGG
rnacentral:rRNA from 1 species